rnacentral:rRNA from 1 species
GGACUACCCGGGUAUCUAAUCCCGUUCGCUCCCCUGGCUUUCGUGUCUCAGCGUCAGCACAACCCCAGCGAGCUGUUUUCACCUUCGGCGUUCCAGACGAUAUCUACGCAUUUCACCGCUCCACCGUCUGUUCCGCUCGCCCCUAGUUGGCUCAAGACAGGCAGUAUACCCAGCCGUUCCACGGUUGAGCCGUGGGAUUUCACAAGGUACUUGCCCGCCCGCCUACACACGCUUUAAGCCCAGUGAUUCCGCCUAACGCUCGGCACCUCUGUCUUACCGCGGCUGCUGGCAC